rnacentral:rRNA from 1 species
AAUCAACGCUGGCGGCGUGCCUCAGACAUGCAAGUCGAACGCGAAAUCUCCCUUCGGGGAGAAAGUAGAGUGGCGCACGGGUGAGUAACACGUAGGUAAUCUACCUUCGGAUGGGGAAUAACCCCGAGAAAUCGGGGCUAAUACCGCAUAAUGCAGCGGCACCUAAUGGUGACAGUUGUUAAAGCGGGGGAUCGCAAGACCUCGCGUCUGAAGAGGAGCCUGCGGCGGAUUAGCUAGUUGGUAAGGUAACGGCUUACCAAGGCGAUGAUCCGUAGCCGGCCUGAGAGGGCGGUCGGCCACACUGACACUGACAUACGGGUCAGACUCCUACGGGAGGCAGCAGUCGGGAAUUUGGGCAAUGGGCGAAAGCCUGACCCAGCAACGCCGCGUGAAGGAUGAAAUCCCUCGGGAUGUAAACUUCGCAAGAACGGGAAGAAUAAGGCUGUGCGAACACCACAGCCGAUGACGGUACUGUUUGUAAGCUCCGGCUAACUCCGUGCCAGCACG